rnacentral:lncRNA from 1 species
CACCAGUGCAGAAAAUACACUAAAACAAAUAAAAGUAAGAAAUAUUAGAUUUAGCUUUUUACCCUUAAGCAAAUACAUUAACAUCAUAGUAUUCUACCCUUAAGCAACUGUUGUGAGGAAGCUAAUAGAAACCAACUAGUAUAACAGCUAGAACAUUUCAAUCCUAAUUCAUAACCUAAUUUUUAGUUCUCCUCUUAUAAAUUAUAAGAGACCUAUCAGUUGCCCAUGAAAAGAACCUAAUUUUCAUAUUUCUUUCUACAAACAAUAUUUCAUAAAUCUUGACAUAUUUCUACAAACAAUCUUUGCAAAAAUCACUAUUGUCAAAAAUAUCUACAAAAUGCCUAAAUCUUGCAACACUUGAUUCCUUUGCACAUUAGCGACAUCCAAAAUCCAUUGACAAAUAUAUUGCUCCCUAAACUGUUGCAGUUCAUCCUGCAAAAACAAAAAUGCACAACAUUUCAAUAAAAUGAAACAUUUAUAUGAAAGGUCAUGGGUAAUUGGGAGAAACAACUACAAAAAAUAAAAUUUCUCAACAUAUGUACAAAUAAUCAUCAACAAAAUCUUAAAGUACAUUGUAUGAAAUGUAAUUGCACUAACAAAUUCGACAUUAACAAAAUACCAUGAAGCAAAUUGUUACGCAGUUAUGCAGGUACUAUAAGCUUUCCUUCUUUGUAAUAGAAUCUAUUUCAACAACUUAAAGAAUAGAAGAAGAAAAAAAUCAAGCAACCUCAAAGAAAAGUGAGACAAAUUCUAAGAUAAUAUAUUCAUAUGUACAAUAAUCAUAUAAACUAUAUACUAUGAAGUUUCAAAUUCAAGUGCACAAGUCUCGUUACUAUUAACUUCUAGGACUAACUCUUGAUUAUGAAUCAGUAUUUUCAACUCCACCAGUACCUACCUUCAACAUCAAUAAUAUAUAAAUAUUGAAGAGCAAACAAAAAGAAAUAUAUAAAAUUCAAAUUUGGUUUUGGAUAAAAUAGGUAUAUAGUGAAUUAUACCCAUAAAAUCUUAGCCUUCUGGUUGGAUUCCCUCUUCCAAAAGAACCGGACAAAUGGUUUCCAAACGGAAACAACUACGCGUGCAAAAUAUGAAAUUAAAGUUAAAAACAAAUAUAAAAACUAAAAUAAAUAAAAUAUCUACCUAUAGAAAUUAAAUUACUAAUGAACUAAACUACUAAUUAAGUCUAUCUUAAAUUAUCUCAAUUAAGUCUACAUAUUUCUUCUCACAAAUCUUCUCUUUCCUAAUUGUUUUUGUGUUAUCACUCUCUUGAACCUUCAAACUACAGUCACGUAGACUAAUUUAGAUAUCUUAAAAUAUAUUAAAAAAUUAAUAUAUGAAGAUCACUAAUAUGACUUAGUUGUCGAAUACAUAGAAGAUGUGAAAUACGCAAUUAACAAUAACAUGGGUAGUUGAGAGAACAAGAGUUUCCACAAGAAUCAAUAACAGAAGAUUCAAAAGGUGGAUAAUAAGAAGUAAAUAAGAAUAAUAAAUGUAGUAGGAAUUAAAUUACUCUCACCUGUUAUUAUGUCUCUUUUUCUCUCUCUUCUAUGCCUUGCCCAAGGGAAUCUAAUUCUCCUGUUCUUCCUAGGAAACUUUUCUCUUCGAAUCAAUAUCAAUCAAAAAUUUAUUUUGUUUUGCAGACCCUUCAAAAUCAACUUAAAUGGAUGUGUAUGAAUGGCUUAAUGCAAAGAAAACAACAAAAAGAAACUAAAUGCCUAACUGAUAUGCUUAAAAUCAUAAAUUUAGAAUUUUUAUUCUAAUGAAAGCACUGCAAAGAGAAUUCUCUUCACUAUAUGCAAUUUAAAAUGGACCUAUCAAUUCUAAAUGAUGCAGUGAAAUUGCAUAUUUCAUAAACAUUCAUACGGAGUUCUACAAUCUAAUUCAUCCAAAACAAAGACAAUAAAGUACUUCAGUAGAUAUGAACUUAAGAAAUCCUAGCUGGGCAAAAAAAGGGUCUUCAAAAGGAUCAAUAGUUCCUAACAAGCUCUAUAGUUCCUAACAGUUUACAACUUUGCAGACGUUAAGGAUCAAUCUCAUAAAAAAUUGAACAAUGCAAAUCCCAUAAAUUUCUGGUAUGACGUCAAUUCUUAUAUUAAAGUUCACAAGCAGUCAGUUACAAGUCAACCAAGAAGCUAAGGGUUGCUUACCCAUUUGCCCGGGCAAAGGGAGCGGUAGUAUUUAACAAAUUUCUCACAUUCACCAGAGUUAUCACCCUUUGCUGCCAGGCAUCUGUUAUUAAAACCAAUAUUAAGUAAAAGAUUAUAUGUAACACUUUCGCAGAAACCAAAUAGCCAAUGUCAGGCAAUCCACCUAUGAAACUCUAUGUAGCGGGUGAAACAGUGUGUGGUUUCGAUCUUAACUGGUUCAUUCCGGUUUCGAAAUUUUCUACUUAAGUCCUACAGUAUUAAGAAUGUAUAACUGGAUUCCAGCGCCUGCCAAUAGAAGUUGGCUUCGUGAAUUCGGUUAAUUUUUUUUCUGAAACCGUGGAUGUCAAUCAAAUUAAACAACUCCUAAUUUGCCUUCUAAAUGCUCUUUUAUAACAGAAACAAGAAAGGAAACCAAGGAAACCCGAGACCAGGUUCUCUUCCGAUGCAGACCCCUGAUCCUCGAACAAGGGCUUCUCUUCAAUUAAAGGGUAAGGUGUUCUAUUUUGACUCGUCUCUUCAUCAACAAUGUAGACAAAGGUUGAACCAAAUGCAUAAUAUAAAAUUUUAAGAGAUAGAUAUAAAAUUUGAAAUGCAGAUCAAGAAGGAGUGUUGCAAGAAAGAAAGACACAAUUAUUCAUCAUCUAUCUGAGGAAAAGAGGGAAGAAAAUACUUUUUUAUAUACGUACUCUGGCGGCACUGUGGCGGAGCUCCGGCGACACUCCGACGGUACUGGGUGGUUGGGUGGACUGAAGAAAAUGUCAAUAUUUUGUCUUGGAACGGCGGCAGAACGGUGGGCUGGGAGGAGACAACACGACGGCGGAGCAACCGCGUCUAGGGUUUGCCCUUUUUACACCGGCAAUGAAGCGGCACUGCAGCGGGACUGGGUGGCUGGGUGGAGGGAAGACACCUCUUCCGAUUGACUGUGGCUCUCCGGCGACGGUGGUGGGUCGUUAGCACGAGAACUAGCCGACGGUGAUCGCACGUUCGCAAGCAGCACUGCGUCGGGACUGGGUGGCUAGGUGGAGGGAAGACACCUCUUCCGAUGAACUGUGACUCUCCGGCGACGGUGCUAGCUGCUUAGCUCGACAACUAAACGACCGUAGUGGCUCGAUCGGAAGCUUCUCUCUCGUUACGUUCGUUCAGAUGCGCUCUCUCCUUCAGAUUUCGCAAAUGAAACGAAAAACCCAAUUUCAAAA